AUGGUGCGAUCUAUGAUGUCUCUUACCGAUUUACCGCUAUCGUUUUGGGGUUAUGCUUUAGAGACGGCCGCAUUCAAACUUCAACCAGAUAAGCUCGAACCCAAAUCGGAGAAAUGUGUCUUCAUAGGAUACCCAAAGGAGAUAAUUGGGUACACCUUCUAUCACAGAUCUGAAGGCAAGAUUUUUGUUGCUAAAAUCGGAUCCUUUUUAGAGAAGGAGUUUCUCUCGAAAGAAGUGAAUGGGAGGAAAGUAGAACUUGAUGAGAUAAAUGUAUGCCGUCAUUCCUUCAUUCACCAUACGGCUUGUACACUCCACCGUCUAAAAUAA
rnacentral:rRNA from 1 species